rnacentral:rRNA from 1 species
AUUGAACGCUGGCGGCAUGCCUAACACAUGCAAGUCGAGCGGAGCGGCGGACGGGUGAGUAAUGCCUAGGAAUCUGCCUGGUAGUGGGGGAUAACGUCCGGAAACGGGCGCUAAUACCGCAUACUAUCAGAUGAGCCUAGGGCGGAUGAGCUAGUUGGUGGGGUAAAGGCCUACCAAGGCGACGAUCCGUAACUGGUCUGAGAGGAUGAUCAGUCACACUGGAACGGAGAAACGGUCCAGAGUCCUACGGGAGGCAGCAGUGGGGAAGAUGGGACAAUGGGCGAAAGCCUGAUCCAGCAAUGCCGCGUGUGUGAAGAAGGUCUUCGGAUUGUAAAGCACUUUAAGUUGGGAGGCGUUACCAACAGAAUAAGCACCGGCUAACUACGUGCCAGCCGCCGCGGUAAUUC